rnacentral:rRNA from 1 species
AGAGUUUGAUCCUGGCUCAGGAUGAACGCUAGCGGGAGGCUUAACACAUGCAAGUCGGGGGGCAUCACGAGGUAGCAAUACUUUGGUGGCGACCGGCGCACGGGUGAGUAACACGUAUGCAACCUUCCCUGUACAGGGGGAUAACCCGGAGAAAUUCGGACUAAUACCCCAUGAUGAUAUUUAUGGGCAUCCAUUAAUAUUUAAAGCUCUGGCGGUACAGGAUGGGCAUGCGCGACACUAGCUAGUUGGUAAGGUAACGGCUUACCAAGGCUACGAUGUUUAGGGGACCUGAGAGGGUUGUCCCCCACACUGGUACUGAGACACGGACCAGACUCCUACGGGAGGCAGCAGUGAGGAAUAUUGGUCAAUGGGCGCGAGCCUGAACCAGCCACGUCGCGUGAAGGAUGACGGCCUUAUGGGUUGUAAACUUCUUUUACAGGGGAAUAAAGUGAGUCACGUGUGAUUUUUUGCAUGUACCCUGUGAAUAAGCAUCGGCUAACUCCGUGCCAGCAGCCGCGGUAAUACGGAGGAUGCGAGCGUUAUCCGGAUUUAUUGGGUUUAAAGGGUGCGUAGGCGGGAUAUUAAGUCAGCGGUGAAAGUUUUCGGCUCAACCUUAAAAUUGCCGUUGAAACUGUUAUUCUUGAGUGCAGUAGAGGUAGGCAGAAUUCGUUGUGUAGCGGUGAAAUGCGUAGAUAUAACGAGGAACUCCGAUUGCGUAGGCAGCUUACUAUAUUGCUACUGACGCUGAGGCACGAAAGUGUGGGUAUCAAACAGGAUUAGAUACCCUGGUAGUCCACACAGUAAACGAUGAAUACUAGCUGUUUGCGAUAUAUUGCAAGCGGCCGAGCGAAAGCAUUAAGUAUUCCACCUGGGGGAGUACGUCGGCAACGAUGAAACUCAAAUGAAUUGACGG